rnacentral:rRNA from 2 species
CGUUUCACGGAAUUCUAGAUUGGCAUUCCUGGAUCUCGAGCGUGUCACGUAUUAGACUUGCUUUUCGAAUCUCACUGAUUCACUGCACUCUUAACUACGGACAGCCGUCGCUAAUGCGCGUCCAACAUGUUGCUCGUUUGUAUCAUCGUAUCAUACUGCAUAAUAGUCGACAAACUACAGGAUCUCCGUCCCUUCCUUCGUUCGUGGUAUACACGCGCCUCGCUCUGCAUCGGUCUGAGGCGUCGGUGCGUACUUGUACGUUCUCAACCUCGCAGUCAACCCGCAGAGCUAAGUGAAUUUUCUUGAGCGUACAUCUGUGUGCUUUUGAGGACCACACGUGAGGAGUGCGGCUGUAUGUCUUUAACUAUUCUGAGCUCUGAACGCCGGGGACGCUAUCAGGAUUGUUUCUCUUCUAGUCCUCUCUGUAACCGAGGUUUCUAGUUUAGAGGUUUUCCUCCAUUUAUGUAGAAGUUAACCGCAUAAGCAUCCGCUUGGGGAGUACGGUCGCAAGACUGAAACUCAAGGGAAUUGACGGGGGCCCGCACAAGCGGUGGAGCAUGCGGUUUAAUUCGAAGCAACGCGAAGAACCUUACCAGGUCUUGACAUCCUCUGACAACCCUAGAGAUAGGGCUUUCCCUUCGGGGACAGAGUGACAGGUGGUGCAUGGUUGUCGUCAGCUCGUGUCGUGAGAUGUUGGGUUAAGUCCCGCAACGAGCGCAACCCUUGAUCUUAGUUGCCAGCAUUCAGUUGGGCACUCUAAGGUGACUGCCGGUGACAAACCGGAGGAAGGUGGGGAUGACGUCAAAUCAUCAUGCCCCUUAUGACCUGGGCUACACACGUGCUACAAUGGACGGUACAAAGAGUUGCGAGACCGCGAGGUGGAGCUAAUCUCAUAAAACCGUUCUCAGUUCGGAUUGUAGGCUGCAACUCGCCUACAUGAAGCUGGAAUCGCUAGUAAUCGCGGAUCAGCAUGCCGCGGUGAAUACGUUCCCGGGCCUUGUACACACCGCCCGUCACACCACGAGAGUUUGUAACACCCGAAGUCGGUGGGGUAACCCUUACGGGAGCCAGCCGCCUAAGGUGGGACAGAUGAUUGGGGUGAAGUCGUAACAAGGUAACCAAU